GUGCAAGUGGCUCAGUCGGUUAGAGGUGCGGCUGCCACUCACAAGUCCGGGGUUCGAUCCCCGCUGUGGCU